rnacentral:lncRNA from 1 species
CAACCAGGAAGCGAGGAUUUUCAAAACACACAAUGUAAAUUUCUUACUCUGUGAUUUGAAAGCAAUUAUCCAAGUUACAACGUAAGUUCAAUCCAAUAUAUGUUUGUCUUGUCUUUGAGUCUAAUUAACACGUUUAUAGUGUUUUGAUAAAUAAAACAGCUCACUUCUGUACGAUUGUAAGUUCACAGUAUAACACGUGGCUAAUUGAAUAUCCUGAAAAGCCAUAUUGUAGAAACAAAUAGGUUUUGAUUGCAUAUCGAUCAUUUGAAAUUAAUUAAACAAACCGGUUUAGACAGGUAAUAAUUGAUGUAAUUAAGAGAUUCGGACUGCAUCAUAAGACCGGAAUUCGGAAUACACAGGGUCCGGUUUACAAAGGGUAUGUUAACAAAGACUUUGAAGGGGAAACAAAUGGGACUUCAAUUAUCUGCCGGAAUGGCCAGGCAACCGGUUUAUGCAGGGCCCAUUAUACUCAGUUUUGACUGUAUAUGUUUUUUAAAAGUACAAUAUAAACUGCAUUUUUGCAAAUUAUCGUGAAAAUCAUUCAUUUUAGUUUAAACUCCCAUCUUCCAUGUCUACCUUAAAGUAUUUAACUGAAGGUAUCUAAUAGUGUAUGCUUGAAUGCUUUAUAGGUAAAAAUGUCGCCAGAAUUUAAUAAAACGCGAUAUAAUUGUAUUAAACAAAAUUGUGUUUGUCAUAAAAGGUAUGUUAAUAUUCUUCACUGAAUAUCUAUUUAAAAAUUAACUUUAAUAAAGACGGGCACAUUAAAAAUAUAUGAGCUUAUACAAGUGUUGUCAGAUUUCAAUUGUCCAUGCUGAUAUAAAAUGAUUCCUUUUCACACUUUAACCUCAUCAACACAUUUGGUUUACAAUUACAAUUCCGACUUUUAGUUUUGCUUGAAUUUUGAAAUACGUUUCUAAUUCAUAUUUCAUGUAAUUGUGACACUUAUAAUUUAAAAAAAAAAAUUCGUGAGGUAAACUGCUGUUUCAUUCAAUUCAUCAAAUAAAUCCCCUCUCGAUGAACCCCUUUCAUAACACCGACAAAAAUAAAAUCAUAUGAAUAUCAAGUAUGAAUACAAUAUCUUAUCAAAUGACAACUGAUCAAAUUACAGGUAUUAAGUUGCACACAAACUGUACUUGUAGCUAUUUAUAAAAAAUGCUGUUUUUGAAACAUUUACAUAUGCAGUUGCAUCAUAUUUCGCCUAACGCAAAUCUGUCUGAUUCUACAAUUGUUUUUUUUUAUUACCAGUGAUGAGUCUUAUAUAGACAACAUGAGUGUUUAAUGUCCUGAAUAAAAAUACUAGUAUAUUUGAGAGGAUUUUAAAUACUAUGCAUAUGCACAUCUUUUAACGUAAAUAUUUUUUUUUCAAAUAAAAUAUUUUUAAUGCAUUAAUUAUUUUGUUUUUGCUUUCAGCAAGACCUUCGCACUGACUGUAACUACAAAAGCAUUAUAAUGACACAUCAUAUAUUAUUCCUGCUGCUAAUCAGCACAACCACUCGUAUUACAGUUACUGCUGAACGUAAGUUAAUGUAUUGAAACGUUUAUAUUUUUUUUUCACUUUAUAACAAAAAAUAUAUCAUUUUCUACAUUGUUAGAAGAAAGCCAGGAAAGAAGCUUAACUAGAUGACAAUCAUAGGACUGAUGUUAGAGUUAAAACCAAACUGUCGAGCAAGUUAUGCUUUCAAGCAUUUUUGAAUAACUCGAAAUAUAUUGGUGUCAUUACGAAAAAACAAUAACUUGGUAGUUUCUGUACAAAACUUCCUGUACGUGCGUGACAUAUUACGGAUGGAACUAUACGUGACCAUGAAAAAGUAGAUAUCAAUGAAAGAAGCAAGCUGAAAACGUGUAGCAUAUGUAAUGACAGUACUUGAUAAGAAAAGUUCGACAUGUGUUGCAGAUAGUUAGCCAAAUCUACAAUCAGAUAUAAACCAGUAUAACCCUUGUUUUUGGCUGAAUGUAGCGCAUUAGAGUUAAUGAGUUCUACACAUAUUUAUAUAAAUUCAAUAUCUAAAUUUCUACAGAAAACAAUAGCAUUUUAUUCAAAAAUGGUUUAUCACCAAAGAAAAAACACCGCAUGUGUAUAUUAUGAAUAAAAGCCAUUUAAUUUUAAGUCAUUAUACUAUUAAAGAUCACCAUGGUGACCGUAAAGUUUAUAAUCUGAAUCAAACAGCUUCAAUGGCAGAUUCACUUACCAAAAUAUUAUUUUUGUUUAUAAAAUGAAUGUUCUAAAAGAAAAUUCAAUUAGGAUAGAUCCAGCACCUUCUUACCUAUUGCACUUUGAAAAGACUGAUACAGAAACCACGUCUAUAUAUAGAAAUCAUAGCUUGGAGCCAGUAGGUAAACAAAACAAAAUAUCUACAAAUAUAAAACAUUUUUGGAGAUGUUUUAUAUCCGUAGAUAUUUUUUUUGUUUAUUGGCUCCAAGAUAUGAUUUCUAUAUUUAAUAUCAUAGAGACACAACUUAAAUCUAAUUUCUUAGUCAUUUUAUAAAACAUGUGUACUUGUAAUUUAAUUUGUGACGAAGUUGAACAUAUGCCGCACAACCCAUGUGUUGGCCUUUGCAGUAGAUAAAAGUGCAUGUGAACUUUCAGUUCUAGGAUACAGUUUACAAAACUUCAUAGUGGAAGUGGCAUAGUUCUAGCCGUAAAAGGAGAUUGUAUGGGAAAUUGCAUUAUCCUUAUCACAGAAUUGAAUCUACACAAGAACAGAACUAUUAAAAAAUGAAUUAAGAAAAAAACGUCCUCGCUAAGGGAAUUGAUAUAAAACCGCUACAAAGAAAUUCAAAAAAUUGUUCUGCAGGGAUAGAUAUUUUUUUUUUGAGAAUUUGGUUUAUGAAACGACUAGAACAAAAUCGUUCAUUCAAUGAGAACUCUCACAAUUAAAUUAAAAUUUGCAAAAUUUUCUAAUUUAGAUUGUAAACAGGACAGAUUAUUAACUGCCAUUUCGCAUGAAUGAACGAUUGUUAGGUUAUCAAACAGAUUGAUUGUAGUUUAAUAGCAUAGUGAAAUAGUUUCUGGAAUAAAGUUAUAUCAAUAAAGUUUUCUAAAAUGCUUAUUUCCUUCCCGAAUGUUAUCAUUAACUAAGGAGUCAGUGUAACGGUAUUGAACAUAUAACAAAAAUGUGUUAAUCUCUCCGCUGAUGAAUUUUGAAAUUUUUCAAAAACUGCGGUUCUAAAUCAUUUAACUGCAACUAGACUUGACUGAUACUUUGUAAUGAUCUUCCAAGCUGCUUUACUCAUAUCGGCAAUUUUUAUGAACUUGUAAUGUAUUUUAAUCAUAUUUUAAGCAGCAUGUACUGUUUCCCGAGAACACUCAUUCUAAGGUGAUGUCAAUAGUCCAAACAAUCUGAGAUCGAUUUUUCAAAGUUUCUAAUUUGAAGGAAACUGUAUUUUGUUUCUUUUUUACUUCGAGUAUACUCCUAAUCUUGUUUGUGGUUUUCAGUUGACUACGCUGAAUUAUAAAAAUCUAUGUUUUUAUGUUACAAUUCUUGUGGAGGCUUGGAACAACCAUGCGUAUGUGAUUUUUUUUUGGCCUUUCUCUUCAUAAUUUUCAUCUCCAUAUUUUCUCAAUUGUAACAUACACUCUGACAUUUCGUAUAGCGUUUUCAUAUCUAAACUAACGCUCCUUCAUGAUCACGCUGUAUCAACUUCAUUGAUAUGGAUUAGUCCCUACCAUAAAAACCUCUUUAACAUGAACAUCUCAUAGGACCUUACAUAAGUUUUACGGUCAUCGUCACAAAUUAUAUAAUCGAUUAGAUGCAUCUGUGUUGCAACUCACUAGCGCCUAUUUUUUGCGGUCUCACAUCUUAACACAAUCUAAUCGUCUGAUCUGUGCUCUAUGAUUUGUUUAUUUUUGUUCUAUUCGUGAUUAUAAUUAUUACAAUCUAUUUACAAUACCAUUUCGACGAAACCGUCUCAUUCCUUUAGUAGUCGAAUAGCAUCCCAAAGUGUUUGUUGUUACCUUAAUUUAUAUGUUUCUAUCAUGUAUAUCGAUUGUUGAGAUUUGAAAGUCGGUAAAAUAUCGUUGCCAAAAUUCAGAAAUAUAUCGAAGAAAACGCACCAAGUUCCUACCGUUCACUGGGGUAAAGCUGAUGACCGUAACUGCAUUCACGGUCAUCCCAAGAUGUCGGAUGAAAAAUUAGGUCAGUAUCUGUAUUGUCUGUUACAGUGUUUCUAUAUCAUUUUCUUACAAAGUAUACAUUGAAACGAUGUAAAUUUAUAAAAGAUUCACACAGAAAUCACAAAUUACUACCGAAAAAUGUUCAGGAAACGCGAAAUUCAAUUUGAAAAAAUCGCUAAGAUGUCCGUAAAUCAUUAUCAAAAUAUUUUCAAGAUGACCGUAACAUAAAACAAGGAUGACCGUGAUUGGUAAACAGAUGACCGUAACUUGUAAAAGAUGACCGUAAUUUGUAAAGAAUGACUGUAAUUUAUAAAGGAGGAUCGUAACUUUUAAAUGAUGACCAUCAAUUCUAAGAAUAUCCGUAUUUAAAUUCAUAGCUUUUUGUUGUGUUUGUCUCAAUAGGGGCUUAGUUAGCGGAUAUAAACAUGUUUUAUUAAUUUAUUUUUAACUAUUUGCCCUAUUUUGAGUUCAUGACAAUGAUAGUAAAUUGCAAAUUUCUCGUUAACAAUGAAAUAUUUAUUGAUAACGACUUUAAAAUUUUAAUACAAAUUGACAGAGAUACGACGAAAAGUUGAAGAAACAAGAAUGUGUCCCUCUGAGGUGUCUCUAGUACAUGCCUCAUCUACACUAUAAUUUUCUAUGUUCAGUGGACCGUUAAAAUGGGAAAAAACUGUAAAUUUAACAUUAGAGAUUAGAAGGAUCAUAUCAUAGAAAACAUGUGUACUAAGUUCAAGUUGAUUGGACUUCAACGUCAUCAAAAACCUCCUCGACCAAAAACUUUAACCUGAGGUGGGACAGACGGACGAACGAGCAGACGAACGGACGAACAAACGAACGGACGCACAGACCAGAAAACAUAAUGCCCAUGAAUGGAGCAUAAAAAACACUAAUCAAACAUAUGAAUAUCAGGUAAUCGAGCCUGUGUGUAUGGUUCCAGAAGGAAGCAGAUUAAAAUCUUAGUUUGUCUUUAUAUAUGAAUAACAUUGCUGUAUAUACAAAUUGACAAGGUUCCCCUCAGUGGUGGAUUCCAAGGAGGGGGUCCGGGGUUGGAACCCCUUUUCAUUUACCGAUCAGUGAUAUUUGAAUGGGGACACAUAGUUUGAACCCCUUUACCUGGGUUGGGACCCCCCUUUUUUUAAAAUGGCUUAAUCCGCCCCUGCCCCUUGUGAUAUUAAUCUAUUUUGCUGGAGCUCGCCUCUACUAGUUUGGUCGUAUAUUUUUUAAAAACAGGUUCUGUAUUUUUACUUGCAAGACAAAAUAGAAGACAAAUCAAAGACGAUAUAAUAUCAAUGGGUGUACAUCCAUUGGCAUUUUUAAAAAAGUGCAUUUAUUAUAUGUCAUUACAAGGAAUUCCAGAAAUAAAAAAAAAUCUUUUGGCUUUUAGUUGGAGGCUGUGCAGCACACUUUUUUGUUUUAUAAUACUUGUAAGGUGUCAUUUAAUCGCGCUUUUGUUGCAUGUUUUCCCCACUUUUUCAUGUGCAUGUCUUGUUGUAUGUUCAUUUUAAAAAUUAUACCCUCUACCGUAAAAAAAGAUAUAUAUGGUGAACUUUGUAUUUAAAGCACGUCUUAUUUUCUCCUACCUAUAGGAUAAUACUCUCAUAUAAAUACGUUUUAUAGCAACACCAUUAAUCAUUUGAUACAAAAAAAAUAGUUAUACAAAUACGGAUAUUUCUUAGAAUUGACGAUCAUCCUUUAAAAGUUACGGUCAUCAUUUAGAAAUUACGGUCAUCCUUUACAAAUUACGGUCAUCUUUUAACCAAUAACGGUCACCCUUGUUAUGAAUUGCUGAUUCUGUUACGGUCAUCUCGAUUGUGAUUUACGGUAAUCUAAGCGAUUUUUUAAAAUCGAAUUUCCUGUUUCAUGCACAUUUCUCGGAAGUAAUUUGUGAUUUCCGUGUGAAUCUUUUAUACAUUUAAAUCGUAUCGAUAUCUUCUUUGUAAAGAAAAUCAUAUAGAAACACUGUAACAGACAAUACAGAUACUGACCUAUUUUUUCACCGACAUUUUGGGAUGACCGUGAAUGCAGUUACGGUCAUCAGCUUUACCCCAGUUAUUUAGGUUAACUGAUACCACAUGACAACACAAUUUCACGAAGGAACCAUAGCAUUGUGUCUUGUUGGAUGAGAAACUAUGGGUGAAAAUCCAGCAUAAACAAAUCAAAGCAGAUUACUGAAAUGCCAACUUUUCUUACAAAUUAACAAAAUUUUAAAUGCAUUUUAAUUGAUUUUGUUUUAAAAAAAACGUUGCAAUAAUAUUACAUAACCUACUUCACACGUUGUAUUCAUAACUUACAGAUGUAUAUAUUUUUUUGCUUUUAAAUGAACCCUCUUACCAUUUGUUUUUUAAGAAUUGUGUAAUUAUUGUUUCAAAUGUUUAAAGAAGUAAAUUUAAAAAAAGUAAAAAACACCAUCAGAGCAGUGUAAGGUUUAUACAUGGACAAAUCGUCUCAUAACACAAACAACAUGACGUGUGCCGUAUGUGGAGUUAGAUCUGCUUACCCGUCCGGAGCACCUGAGAUCACCUCAGUUUUUCGUGGGUUUCGUGUUGCUUAGUUUUCUGAAGUGUCUUCUGUACCAAUGGUUGUCUUUUUUGUCUUUUUAUUUUUAGCAAUGUUGUUGUCAGUUUAUUUUAUCUACUAGUUUGACCGUCCCUCUGUUACCUUUUACUCCUUUUUUUAAAACGUAUAAGCCUCGUAUCAACAAUCGUAUUUAAUUACAAAUUAUAUGAUUUAUAUGAUUUGUUUUCAUUUGCAUUUUUUGUAUAUUCUACAGUUAAUCUUACAACAUUUGACACAGCUACGCAAAGUUCUAUAACGUUUUCUAGAAAUCAAGGUAAACCAAGAAAUGCUAUAAAUCCACCAUUGUCAAACCAAUAUUCCUUAAGUAAAUGUACCCGCUUGAAUUCUAACUCUACAGCUGAUUGGUCGAUGUUUCCAUUGCCUUUCGGAGCUGCUUACAUCACAAUCUACUACAGAGAAACAUGUAAGUCAUGUAUGAUUUUUAAUUUUAGUUUCUUGUGUAUAAUUCGGAGUUUAGUAUGACGUCCAUUAUCACUGUACAAGUAUAAUUUUUAAGGGGCC